ensembl:lncRNA
GUUCACCUCACAAUCCCUCGUUCAUAUUCUCACAACCGAAUUCAUACUUCUUUACUAGUGUGAUGGCCUGUGCCCCUGGACACACUCGCGUCACGCGAGUGUAAACUCUGUGAACACCUGCUCAACACGUGCACAGGAUUGUAUACCGAUAAAAACGCCGGUGGUAAAUUCACCCGUUUCAAACUAAUUCAAAUCCACUCCCCAUUUCAGGCACUCUGAUGUACGUUUUAAGCAAUAACAGUGUACAACUUUCUCAUUAUUAUUAUUAUUAUUGUUUAAAACAUGAAGCAGGCGUGCGCAAUACAAUGUUAAAAUGUCUGCGUGGUUUUACACGGCUGUAAUAUUCCGUGACGCUAACAACUGUUAUUAAUCGUUAUGCCACGGAAUGGUUGAAUUCUUCUCAUAUUUGGUUGGACAGAAGGUACGCAUGAUUUAUUUUUUUUUUUAUUACCACAAGUACAGGUUCGUAUUAAUGCGCUCGUUCUAAUACGUUAGUGUUUCUAUAGCGACAGCUCGUGCACGGGGAUCGUAUAGUGGACACGCCACAUAAUCAAAGAUGAAUAAUAAAUGAAUUUGAUAAAAUGUGUGAUAGUUUAACAACGAAAUUCAUCUAAUGAGUCAGCACGUUUACAUGGGCAACAAUAAUCCGAUAUGAACCCGAUUAAGACGAUACUCUGAUUAAGAAGCUACCAUGUAAACAGCGAUUAUUGAUGACCUUAAUCCGACUAAAGUCAUACUCGAAGUAAACACAAAUGGAAUUAAGACGUGUGGAGUAUUCCUGUUUUAGUCGCGUUAUUGAGGUGUAUUACAGACACGUACACACCUUAAUCACACUGUUAACAUCGUGUAGAGUUUUCACCACAUUGUGUGACAGGACACGUACACACACGGCAGCGCUCAACCGUUUAACGGUAAACAAGAGAGCACGGCUGCGUCCCAAACCCCGUACUUACCUACUAUAUAGUAGGUAAGUACACGUAUCUCGGCUACUAUAUAGUAGGUAAGUACGCGGUUUGGGACGCAGCCCACAGCUUCAAGCAGUCGUCUAUUUGCACGUACAGCAUGACAAAUAAUUAACCGCACUUGAAGCGUCCGUAGAAUUUAAAAUGAAACACCCGAAACUGUAUACGGGACCAUAACGAAGACCGACUGUAUGUGGACGUGAAAUUCUGGAGGGAACGGUGUGGCGUGGGGACGUAAUGACGUGUGAUUUUAAUCGCUCCAUGAUCUAUAGCAUGUAAAACCUGAACAUGGAAGGAGUAUUCUAAACGCGACUCAUGUAAACACCUUAAUCACAAUAUAGUCUUACUCAGAGUAAGGUCAGUAAUUAGAUCACCGCUGUCCAUGUAAACAGAGCGUCGGGUGUCGGAGCUUCGUAACAGUCACAGUGCUUUCUGUAGUUUCUCAUCACAGGAAAGUCUUCCGGAGAGUGGAUUUUCCACUUUCCACUUAGUUUUGUAAAAUGCCAUCCUUUUUUAAAAAUUUUUUUUAGUCCUAUUAACUCUGUCCAUACAGGAUUUCACAGAGUUUAUUAAUAUUUUUUUGUGAUCGUUGCAGCCAAAAAUGCUUGAUUUUGCUGCGGGUUUUUUCAAAAUUUGUGAUACAGUUUGCAGAGUUUUUGUGCUUUUUUUUUGUGUGGAAAACUAUUGAAUUGCACGAAAUUGCCUUUCACAGUGAUGGUUAUUGGGUAAAUGAGACCUUUUAGCUGUAAUAAUGUUCAAUGCAUGUGACUUGAAAAGGGUUCUGGCUGAAUGCGCGUUGUGAUGACGUCGCACCUUCACCCAAAUCUGCAGAAAAUCUGUUGUAAUUUUGAAAAAUUGCAAGCUCCUAAAAAUAUUAUGGAGUUUCCUUGGGUUUGUGUAAAUUUCAGCGAUCGCAAAAUCCCGGCGUGACCGAUGAACUGUUUAUUGUUGUUGUUGUUGUUGUUGUUGUUGUUGUUAUUGCUGCGUUUGACUAGCUUUGGGAGUGGGAGGCUGGAACUGGGAAUGACGUCAUUUUGGACGAGUUCCUGAGAAGGAGUUCUUGUCUCAUUAACUAUAAACUGCUGAAAACCUGACGUGUUGUUGUUUUUUAAGAAAUGAAACAUUGUCCACGGCGACACAUCAGUAUUUAUGUAUGCAUAAUAUGACCUGAAGCGUAGCAUACAAUCCCGGAGUGCAUCACGCCAUCCCGGAGUAUAAUAUUUUCAUAUAAUGGCGGAGUCCAUUGUGUGCUAUUGCUUACAUAAGUGCUAAAUUGACCAUGCAACUGUAAGUGUAUGUAUGUAACAUGUAUGACGGUUUCAUUUGAAUAUGUAUUUUUCCCUCUGUGAUGUGCCAAGGAUGCGCCGUCACCUUGUUUUGAACUCAUCUUUUGUGACUAUAAUUGCAGGAAGAAAAUUCGAGUCUGUUGGCAUGACUGUCCCGACUGACGUUAACACGUACUCACUUGGAAAAAACAAAAACCCCUAAGCUCUGAGGAGAAUCCACUAGUUUGGUAUGGAAAUCCGUCUGCAUGCCAGUGUAGACUCCCUGUCCACUUUAAGAGGAACACGUGUACACCUGCUCAUUCGUGCAGUUAUCUAAUCAGCCAAUCAUGCAGCAGCAGCACAGUGUGGAGAAUCAAACAGAACAAGCACUUCAGGUAAUGUUCACGAUGGGGAAAAUUUAACCGUGGCAUGGUGGGUUUUUUUUCUUUUUUUUUUUUCUUUUUCUUGCCAGGGCUGGUAUGAGUAUUUCAGGUAUUUCUCUAGGGUCUACACAGAAUGGUGCAAAAAACAAAAAGCACAGAGCGAGCGACAGUUCUGUGGGUGGAAACGCCUGGUUGAUGAGAGAGGUCGGAGAAAAAUGACCAGACUGGUUCAAGCUGCCUGGAAGGAUAUAAUGACUCAUAUAGUCACUCUUUACAACCAUGGUGAUCGGAAAAGCAUCUCAGCAUGCACAAAACACUGCGUUCCUCUCCUAUCAGCCAAGAACAGGAACCUGAGGCUAUCAGGAGUGGAACCUGAUGUGGUCUUGUGCUGUUGUAGCUCAUCCACCUCACGGUUUGGUGUGUUCUGAGAUGCUUUUCUGUUCACCGUGGUUGCAAAGAGUGCUUAUUUGAGUUACUCUAGAAUUCCCGUCAACUCGGACCAUUCUCUCUCAUCAUCAGGGUGUUUCUUCCUGCAGACGCUCCACUCGCCGGAGACUGCUGUAUGGGAAAAUCCCAGGAGAUCAGCAGUUUCUGAAAUACUCAAACCAGCCCAUCUGGCAACCAGAGAACCAUGCCGUGGAUAAAGUCACAGAGAUCACAUUUUUUUCUUCGUUUUGAUGUUUGACGUGAACAUUUAAGUGAAACUCUCGACCUGUAUUUCUGAAAUUUUUGCUACCGAGCAAAAAAAACAAAACUCCACUCCACUCUUUAGAUCACAUGUGAGAAAUAUAAUGCUGUAAGAUUUUGUGUAAAUAGCCCAACUGGGUCAGUCACGAUUGUUGUUUCCUAGCCCAGAAUAAUUGCAGCUGAAUUUAGCGCCCCCCGUCCGUCCUAACCAUCGUUCGAGCGCUAGGUCUGAGAUUAAGGAUGAGUAGUAAUGUAGUUUAUCCGAUGCUGCGGUGAAUCUCAUCUCGAGCGUGUCUCUUUCUAAAAAAGAAGGGAAGGAGAGAAUAAAAAGACCUUGCAGAAUUUGUGUAUUCUAUUUUAAAAAGUACAUUAUGUCUGAGAAGUCAGGCUGCAUGGUGUAACCGGAGCCAGGACUUUCUGCUGAAGCGAAGGGCGGGAGCGUAGAACGAAACAGUCGAAAAUAGGCACAGUCGAGCAAAGUGUAGGAGGAGAGGGUUAGCAGUCGCACUGCUGGGAGAGACAGUCUUUCUUUAUCUCUCUCUGUGUUUCUCUCUCUAUCUAUCUAUGUCUCUGUAUCUCUCUCUAUAUAUCUAUCUCUGUGUAUCUCUAUCUAUCUCUUGCACACAGUAUGGCGUGGAGUGCAGCAGUAAUGGCAAGUGUGUAAUUUUACACGUGACUAACACGGGAAGUGGAAAUACAUGUGUAACUGUACAUCAUAUUGUCAGUGUAUUCCUUCCUUCCCUCCCUCCGAGGAGAAUACACGAGAUCACGUUAUACUCUGCAGCUAUCAUUAUUGGAAGUUGUGUGAUGUUUGAUCAGGAAUUUAAUUCGUAAUUCUGCCAAACGCCCAUUCUAACUAGGGAUGAGUGAUAUCUUAUCGUUUGCGAUAUACCGGUAGAAAUUCUCCCUGCAGUAAGAAUUAGUCUACGCACGAUAAUAACGAUGAAGCCCAGUCGAUGAGGUAUUGGUGUGCGAGACCCGUUCGCAGCUCACGUGCAGAGCGAACAGGAGUAUGGCGGAAGGUGGACGUGAAGCCGAGGAGGAGUUUAUCGAUAAACGAGGCGCUACCUCUACAAUGUGGAACUGGUUUAGUUACAGAAAAUCACUUUAACUUUUAGAUCAAUGUUGGUGUUUCUGAGACUCCUAAGACUGCAUGCAGCUUUCACUUGUAGCCAAAACAGUGGUGAACGAUGCGAUAUUUAUAUCGUCACCGAUAUCGUUACCGCAAUAAAUACCAGAAAAUAUACUGAUAUAGUUUUAAGUCCAUAUCGCACGUCCCUACUUUUAACUAGUAACUUAAUGUUUCGUUCUCGCACUGUGCUCCCCCUGAUCGUCCCAAUGCGUUUCUGUGGGUGUUUUGAUGAAUCAUGGCGUUCCCACGAUCAAACAUAAACUUAAAAUAAUACCGGCCAGACUUUAACCAUGACACAUCAAUGGUGUGUGUUUAUAUUAUGCAAGGUCUAUGGCAGUUAGAGUGUGUUGCAAUAUAACUUCACAUCGUAUGCUAUUUUAUCUUGUACAGACCUGCUGUGUUUUCUUUGAGGAUAGUGGCAGUGCAUUCGGAAUGA